CGCAAGCCUGACGGAGCAACGCCGCGUGUGGGAAGAAGGCUCUUGGGCUGUCAACCACUUUUCUCAGGGAAGAAGCCCUGACGGUACCUGAGGAAUCAGCCUCGGCUAACUCCGUGCCAGCAGCCGCGGUAAUACGGAGGAGGCAAGCGUUAUCCGGAAUUAUUGGGCGUAAAGCGUCCGCAGGGGGCACAUCAAGUCUGCUGUUAAAGCCCACAGCUCAACUGUGGAUCGGCAGUGGAAACUGAAUAACUUGAGAGUGGUAGGGGUAGAGGGAAUUCCCGGUGUAGCGGUGAAAUGCGUAGAUAUCGGGAAGAACACCAGUGGCGAAGGCGCUCUACUGGGCCGCGACUGACGCUGAGGGACGAAAGCUAGGGGAGCG
rnacentral:rRNA from 1 species